rnacentral:rRNA from 1 species
GAUGAACGCUAGCGGCAGGCUUAAUACAUGCAAGUCGAGGGACAGCACAGGUAGCAAUACUGGGUGGUAACCGGCAAACGGGUGCGGAACACGUACACAACCUUCCUUUAAGUGGGGGAUAGCCCAGAGAAAUUUGGAUUAAUACCCCGUAAUAUAGUUGAAUGGCAUCAUUUGAUUAUUAUAGCUACGGCGCUUAAUGAUGGGUGUGCGGCUGAUUAGAUAGUUGGCGGGGUAACGGCCCACCAAGUCUACGAUCAGUAGCUGAUGUGAGAGCAGGAUCAGCCAACAGGGCACUGAGACACGGGCCCGACUCCUACGGGAGGCAGCAGUAAGGAAUAUUGGUCAAUGGACGCAAGACUUAACCUGCCAUGCCGCGUGAAGGAUUAAGGUCCUCUGGAUUGUAAACUUCUUUUAUUUGGGACGAAAAAGGGCCUUUCUAGGUCAACUGACGGUACCAGAUGAAUAAGCACCGGCUAACUCCGUGCCAGCCGCCGCGGUAACAC